CUAAAUACAAUGACGAAAACCUAGUAGCUUGCGUUUCCUUUUAAGAGAGUUGGUGGUCGCUGCAAACCAAUAAGGAACCCUUGUGAAUCCAGUUUUGUAAUACGUCGCCUUACUAAUCCAAGGCCGGUGGUCUCCCGUUACGAGACAUCAAGGGCGGCAUUUUUGCCGAACUUGGGUGGUACCGCGAAAUCAAACUAUUUCGUCCCAAGC
rnacentral:ncRNA from 1 species